rnacentral:misc_RNA from 1 species
CAGGCCACGUCAUCUCACCAG